ACAAACUUGGUCAUUUAGAGGAAGUAAAAGUCGUAACAAGGUCUCCGUAGGUGAACCUGCGGAGGGAUCAUUACCGAGCGAGGGCGGACGCCGCCCGACCUCCCACCCCGUGUCUGUCGGACCACCACGUUGCCUCGGGGGGCCCCCCGGCCCCCCGGCCGGCCACCGUUGACCCAUUCUGCGUCCCCGCGCGUCGGAGUACAUGGGAUUGGACCCCAAAUUGAUGGAAAAACUUUCAACAACGGAUCUCUUGGUUCUGGCAUCGAUGAAGAACGCAGC
rnacentral:misc_RNA from 1 species